CAAAUAAUUAAACCAUUUAAGAACGUAAAUUAUACGUUCUAAUACCACCAAAACCCCAAAAUGCAAACAAGUUGUCCCAAUUCCACCCCCAAAGAGAAACCCUCCUCACCCGUGACUUUGCUUUUCCUCACACCAUCUCCAUCAAUUCUUCUUCAAGAAAUCCUCACCCACAACUCCUAAAUUCUUGUUGCUUCAACAACCUUAUCUGGUGCAUUAGUUGCAUAAUUCAUUUAAAGGGUUUUGUCGAGAUCGGGCUUUGCAAUGAUGGCUAUAUCAUUAUUAAGGGGUAUGCAAUAAUGAUUUUAUCGUUAUUCAUGUCUUUGCAGCGAUGACCUUUGCUUCAUAAUUCCUUUAAUGUGAUUUUCCAAAAUAUCCUGUCUUUGCCUUUUUCAUUAGACAAAGGCCAAAAAUGCAAAUGGCUCUAUAAGGACAGAAGGUGAACAUGCAUAGGUGUGGUUUAUGUGAUUUUCAUGUUUGGCAACUUGGUUUAUUAGGUCCUAAACAUUUUCGUUAUUUCCUUUGUUAUUAAGUUAUUUCUAUUAUUGUUAUUUUGCAGAAGUAAAAAAUAACUACAAAUUCAUUUGGAAUGACAGCAGCUCAUUUGUUAUUUACCCUUUGAAAUUGCCUCAUGAAUUCUAGGCUACUUUUCCUAGUUUAAAGUCUUGUCUAGAAUUUUAUUAUUUAUUCUUGUUAUUAUGCGUUUGUCAUUGUUGUGGUAGUCGUUAUUUUAC
rnacentral:lncRNA from 1 species